rnacentral:rRNA from 1 species
GACGAACGCUGGCGGCGCGCCUAACACAUGCAAGUCGAACGGUGACGAAGGAGCUUGCUCCUUCUGAUCAGUGGCGGACGGGUGAGUAACACGUGAGCAACCUGGCUCUAAGAGGGGGACAACAGUUGGAAACGACUGCUAAUACCGCAUAACAUAUUCUGAAGGCAUCUUUAGAAUAUCAAAGAUUUUAUCGCUUAGAGAUGGGCUCGCGUCUGAUUAGAUAGUUGGCGGGGUAACGGCCCACCAAGUCGACGAUCAGUAGCCGGACUGAGAGGUUGAUCGGCCACAUUGGGACUGAGACACGGCCCAGACUCCUACGGGAGGCAGCAGUGGGGGAUAUUGGGACCAAUGGGGGGCAACCCUGAUCCAGCGACGCCGCGUGAGGG